AGAUGCUUCCAUAUGGGAGGAUUGCUAUAGAUGCUUCAAUAUGGGACGAUUGCUAUAUAUAUUGGUCAAGUUGGUACAACAUAAAACCCUAGCUACGCCAAUUUUCCAAGACCCAAAUAUAGAACGAAAAGAGCACAGGUGAAUGGGUAAGUAUAGAGAGAAGGAAGAGAAGCUGUUAUGUACCUAUUAUUGAGCUUCGAAUAAUCAACUAGACGUAUUGAGAAGCUUCGCACCAGAAGAUGAGAAGAUCGAGCAUAAAAGAUGAGACGAUUAUGAGACGUGAGCACAGGGAAAAACCCUAGACCAUGGCGCCUGUGUUUGUUUGUGUUUAAUGGCCUCUAGAUCAAACAUGGAAUAUAACUUGUGUGUUUGUUUAUUUAUUUAUUUUUCUUAAUUGUUAACUCAUGGUUCUUGACCUUAAUUAAGAGAGAUUAGUUAUUGUCCAUUAGAUUUUAAUGAAUUGAUCCAAGAGUUAAGAGAGGAACUUCGCACUUUAAUUUCAGAGUUUCGCUCUGGAUAGAAUAUAUAUAUAUAUAUAUAUAUAUAUAUAUAUAUAUAUAUAUAUAUACUACGUACCNNNNNNNNNNNNNNNNNNNNAUAAUAUAUAUAUAUAUAUAUAUAUAUAUAUAUAUAUAUAUAUAUAUCACACCGGCCUUUUCAUCGUAGUCUUAUGAAUUUUGUGCAAAGUGGUGAGACACAAUGAUGUUAACACAAACCCAUAUACCACAUUACCAAGCUGGAAAUCAAAAGAAAGAACUUGGAACAACAUGUUGUUCGAUC
rnacentral:lncRNA from 1 species